UGGGGAAUAUUGCACAAUGGGCGCAAGCCUGAUGCAGCCAUGCCGCGUGUGUGAAGAAGGCCUUCGGGUUGUAAAGCACUUUCAGCGGGGAGGAAGGCGAUAAGGUUAAUAACCUUGUCGAUUGACGUUACCCGCAGAAGAAGCACCGGCUAACUCCGUGCCAGCAGCCGCGGUAAUACGGAGGGUGCAAGCGUUAAUCGGAAUUACUGGGCGUAAAGCGCACGCAGGCGGUCUGUCAAGUCGGAUGUGAAAUCCCCGGGCUCAACCUGGGAACUGCAUUCGAAACUGGCAGGCUAGAGUCUUGUAGAGGGGGGUAGAAAUCCAGGUGUAGCGGUGAAAUGCGUAGAGAUCUGGAGGAAUACCGGUGGCGAAGGCGGCCCCCUGGACAAAGACUGACGCUCAGGUGCGAAAGCGUGGGGAGCAAACAGG
rnacentral:rRNA from 1 species